GUUUACUUACAUGCAACAAAUACGGGAGAUAUUCUUUGCGAAUUGUACGAACCGUCAACCAGCAUGGAAUUUCGUUUAGAGGUUUACAACUUCACAUUGCAACUCGUUCAAAAUCCAUUGUCAUUUACCGCUUGUGGUUUUUUCAAUCUCGACAAUAGAUUGAUUUAUGGUUUAAUCGCUAGCUGUACAUCAUAUCUCGUUAUUCUCAUUCAAAUUGGGGGUACACCACAGCAAAUUUUCCAUAUCAAUUCUAC